AGUCAAACAGUACCAGAGCUCACAGAGGGUUUGAUAGCGGUAGGCAAAGCCUCAGGAUGGGAGGCAGAGAAAAAUCCGCGGACUAGAGUCAGCUUUCUAGUGUCGCCCAAGGCUUUUUACCUGAGACAAAUAGUUUCAAUUCUCUAAAGCCUGCGUGCGUUUGUCAAUAAAAAAAAAAUGGAAGCUGGGUGGAUUUAUCAGUCUUUUUCGGCGGAAAAUUGUGUGGCAAAUGAUAUUGUUGAGCCUCCGACUGUCAAAGGCCGACUCUGAGCAGGGAAGAAAUCUGCGCAGAAUACACAGUUUGGGGAGAAAGUCAUCCUCCUAACAGAACACAGGAAAACUUUGCCCGAAGUAAGAGAAAGACCCUGCCGGGGAGCAUGCCAUCACACAAGAGAAUCUGCAGUUAGAGACGGCCGGCCAUUCAAAAGGCAGUACUUUUCAGGGGUCAUGCCUAUGUGAGUUUAUCCUCCAUCAGAUGUGUCAAUCUCUGGUGUGUGUGUGUGCCACAUGUAUACCUGUGCCUUUGAAGGCUAGAAGAGUGUGUUGGAUCCCCUAGAGCUGGACUUACAGGAAUUCUGAACUGCCUGAUAUGGAGGCUAGAACGGAACCCCCGUCCUCUGGAAGAGCAAAGCCGGCAAGAUUAGUCGGAUCCACGAGGCAGCUGUUUCCGGUUCCAGCCCUUGCUCCCCGCCGUGGCUGGUGGUGUGGCGGCUC